UUUAAGUUAUCAAAAAUCAGAACUUUCAAGAGAAAUUAUAAAAGCAUGUGGUGUACACCAUAAAUACUGCAGACAAUGAAGGGCAAAAAAGCUAGUGAAGGGUCUGGAGCUUUCUUAUGAUGAGCGACUUGAAGGGACUGCGGUUGUUCAGUCCGGAGAAAAGACUCAGGGAAACAUUAUCACUUUCUCCAACUACCUGAAAGGAGGUUGUGUUAAGGGAGGGGAUUUGCCUUUAUCAGGUACGUAGUGACAGGACAAGAGGUAAUGGCCUUAAGUUGCACAAUGGGAGGUUCAGUUUGGAUAUUAAGAAAAAUUUGUUCUCAGACAGUGUGGUGAUGCACUGAAGCAGGCUGCCAGAGAGAUGGUAGAGUCACUGUCCCUGGAGGUUUUCAAGAAAUGUGUAGAUGGGGCACUGAUGGGCAUAGUUCAUUCAGUGGGCAUGGGGGUGUGGACUACAUGAUCUUAGGGAUCUUUUCCAACCAUAAUGAUUCUAUGAUUCUCUGUACCUUUUAGUUGUCUUUGUUUGCAGAAUUGUCACCUGGGAGUGGCUACAGGUUUGACUUAGCUGUAGUGAACCCAAGAGACUGGUAGAUAGCCAUGUCUGAGACACAACCAUCAUGUUGGUUGUGUCUCAUGUCUGAGACACAACCAGCAAACCUAACCUUCAACCUUUGCUUUAAACAGUCUCUCUUAAGAAUACCUGUUGCCUACAGUAUCCAGAUCUCUGUAAAGCUGAUGAUGCCAGUGACAAAGUAAUACUGUCUCCAUUCAUGAAGAAGUGCAUCUGGUGUGAGCAUUUCUCUCUAGUCCAGCCUUGCUAGACAAAGGUGGAAGCAUUUACAACGUAACUGACCAGAUUCUGUGGUGCUACAGAGUAUGAUCAAGGAAUGAGUAGUAUGGAAAUUAUAGUCUUUGCAAAAUGAGUUUAGCUGCUGACCUGUUACAAGUGGUGUCUCUCAGGGGUUGGUACUGGGGCCCAUCUUGUUUGGUAUCUUUACUGAUGACUUAGAUGAGGGGUUUGAGUGUACCCUCAGUAAGUUUGCAGAUGACACCAAGUUAGGAGGUAGUGUCAAUCUGCCUGAGGGUAGGGAGGCCCUUCAGAGGGACCUAGAUAAGCUGGAUUGCUGGGAUGAGAAUCAGCAAGGUCAGGUGCUGGGUCCUGCACUUUGGCCACAAUAAUCCCAUGCAGUGCUAUAGGUUUGGGGCUGAGUGGCUAGAUGACUGUGAAGAAGAAAG
ensembl:lncRNA